CUCUAGGAGGUUCUAGGUCACCCAACAGUGGGAAACGUCUCCUCUGUGAGGUUCUAGGUCACCCAACAGCGGGAAAUGUCUUCUCUGUGAGGUUCUAGGUCACCCAACAGUGGGAAAUGCCAUCCCUGUGAGGUUCUGAGUCGUGUAGUAGGUGGGAAAUGCCAUCUUGGUGAGGUUCUAGGUCACCCAACAGCAGAUGAUUCCAUCCCUGUGAGGUUCUAGGUCACUCAACAGUGGAAAACGUCUCGUCUGUGAGGUUCUAGGUCACCCAACAGUGGGAAACGUCUCCUCUGUGAGGUUCUAGGUCACCCAACAGCGGGAAAUGUCUCCUCUGUGAGGUUCUGGGUCACCCAACAGUGGGAAAUGCCAUCCCUGUGGGGUUCUGGGUCGUGUAGUAGGUGGGAAAUGCCAUCUUGGUGAGGUUCUAGGUCACCCAACAGCAGAUGAUUCCAUCCCUGUGAGGUUCUAGGUCACCCAACAGCGGGUGAUUCCAUCUCUAUGAGGUUCUGGGUCACCCAACAGUGGGAAAUGCCAUCCCUGUGAGGUUCUGAGUCGUGUAGUAGGUGGGAAAUGCCAUCUUGGUGAGGUUCUAGGUCACCCAACAGCAGAUGAUUCCAUCUCUGUGAGGUUCUGGGUCGUGUAGUAGGUGGGAAAUGCCAUCUUGGUGAGGUUCUAGGUCACCCAACAGCAGAUGAUUCCAUCUCUGUGAGGUUCUAGGUCACCCAACAGCGGGUGAUGCCAUCUCUAUGAGGUUCUAGGUAACUCAACAGUGGGAAACGUCUCCUCUAUGAGGUUCUAGGUAACUCAAUAGUGUGUAAUAUCAUGUCUGUGAGAUUCUAGGCCACCCAGCAGGGCACAAUAUCACCUCAGUGAAGUUGCAUCCCGCCAACCGCACACAACCCCCCCUUGACCCCCCACCCCCCGUCACCCUCCAACCUUCCCCCAAC